rnacentral:antisense_RNA from 1 species
CUUCACGGAGCCGAGCCAGAGCGGCCGGUCGGCGGGGCGCUGCCGCCCGUACGUGGCCAGCAGGGCCUGCGCCUC